rnacentral:rRNA from 1 species
UGGGGAAUAUUGCACAAUGGGGGAAACCCUGAUGCAGCGACGCCGCGUGGAGGAAGAAGGUCUUCGGAUUGUAAACUCCUGUUGUUAGGGACGAUAAUGACGGUACCUAACAAGGAAGUGACGGCUAACUACGUGCCAGCAGCCGCGGUAAAACGUAGGUCACAAGCGUUGUCCGGAAUUACUGGGUGUAAAGGGAGCGCAGGCGGGAGAGAAAGUUGGAAGUGAAAUCUACGGGCUCAACUCGUAAACUGCUUUCAAAACUUCUCUUCUUGAGUGGUGCAGAGGUAGGCGGAAUUCCCGGUGUAGCGGUGGAAUGCGUAGAUAUCGGGA